GGGUUGUUAGCUCAGUUGGUAGAGCAGCGGACUCUUAAUCCGUAGGUCGUGAGUUCGAGCCUCACACAACCUACCA
rnacentral:tRNA from 1 species